rnacentral:rRNA from 1 species
GCUCAGGACGAACGCUGGCGGCGUGCCUUACCCAUGCAAGUCGGACGAUCUCUUCGGGGAAACCCUUGGGGAUAGUGGCAGACGGCUGAGUAACACGUGAGGACCUGUCCAGUUGAGGGGGAUAGCCGCUCGAAAGAGCGGGUAAUACCGCGUAAGCCGAUCGGGCGUAGGGUCUGGUCGGGAAAGCAGGGGAGACCUUGCGCGACUGGGGGGACUCGCGGCCCAUCAGGUAGUAGGUGGGGUGACGGCUCACCUAGCCGAUGACGGGUAGCUGGUCUGAGAGGAUGGCCAGCCAGACUGGGACUGAGAGACGGCCCAGACUCCUACGGGGGGCAGCAGGGGGGGAUCUUGGUCAAUGGGGGAAACCCUGAACCAGCGACGCCGCGUGAGGGAAGAAGGUCUUUGGAUCGUAAACCUCUUUUGCCAGGGAAGAAGGGGGUAACCCUUGACGGUACCUGGCGAAUAAGCCCCGGCUAACUACGUGCCAGCAGCCGCGGUAAUACGUAGGGGGCGAGCGUUGUCCGGAUUUACUGGGCGUAAAGAGCGCGUAGGCGGUCUGAAGAGUCGGCUGUGAAAUCUCUGGGCCCAACCCAGAGGGGUCGGCCGAGACCUUUGGGCUUGAGGGUGGUAGAGGAAGGUGGAAUUCCGGGUGUAGUGGUGAAAUGCGUAGAGAUCCGGAGGAACACCAGUGGCGAAGGCGGCCUUCUGGGCCAUACCUGACGCUGAGGCGCGAAAGCGUGGGGAGCGAACCGAAUUAGAUACUCGGGUAGUCCACGCCCUAAACGAUGGACGCUAGGUGUCGGGGGUAUCGACCCCCCCGGUGCCCGAGCGAACGCAGUAAGCGUCCCGCCUGGGGA